rnacentral:rRNA from 2 species
GUGGUAAUACCGGAUGCUCCGCUCCAUCGCAUGGUGGGGUGGGAAAUGCUUUUGCGGCAUGGGAUGGGGUCGCGUCCUAUCAGCUUGUUGGCGGGGUGAUGGCCCACCAAGGCGUUGACGGGUAGCCGGCCUGAGAGGGUGACCGGCCACAUUGGGACUGAGAUACGGCCCAGACUCCUACGGGAGGCAGCAGUGGGGAAUAUUGCACAAUGGGCGCAAGCCUGAUGCAGCGACGCCGCGUGCGGGAUGGAGGCCUUCGGGUUGUAAACCGCUUUUGUUCAAGGGCAAGGCACGGUUUCGGCCGUGUUGAGUGGAUUGUUCGAAUAAGCACCGGCUAACUACGUGCCAGCAGCCGCGGUAAUACGUAGGGUGCGAGCGUUAUCCGGAUUUAUUGGGCGUAAAGGGCUCGUAGGCGGUUCGUCGCGUCCGGUGUGAAAGUCCAUCGCCUAACGGUGGAUCUGCGCCGGGUACGGGCGGGCUGGAGUGCGGUAGGGGAGACUGGAAUUCCCGGUGUAACGGUGGAAUGUGUAGAUAUCGGAAAGAACACCA